rnacentral:rRNA from 1 species
AUCCUACGGGGCGCAGCAGUGGGGAAUAUUGCACAAUGGGGGAAACCCUGAUGCAGCGACGCCGCGUGAGUGAGGAAGUAUUUCGGUAUGUAAAGCUCUAUCAGCAGGGAAGAAAAUGACGGUACCUGACUAAGAAGCCCCGGCUAACUACGUGCCAGCAGCCGCGGUAAUACGUAGGGGGCAAGCGUUAUCCGGAUUUACUGGGUGUAAAGGGAGCGUAGACGGAGGAGCAAGUCUGAUGUGAAAACCCGGGGCUCAACCCCGGGACUGCAUUGGAAACUGUCAGGCUAGAGUGUCGGAGAGGG